rnacentral:lncRNA from 1 species
UCUGGGAGGACGAGGGUGAUCACAUGCAGGGUGCUCACGGGAUGCUCGGACGCGGUUGAAUGGGAGGAAUCCGGAGGCGAACAAGGAUGGAUACGGCUGGGAGAUGAGCUCUGUUUUGAAGCUAUAAAUAGGGGGUUUUGAAUACGUGGAAGGGAGGGAGAGCUCGGUUCAAAAGAAAGAAAAUGAAGAACAGAGGCUCU